rnacentral:lncRNA from 11 species
GGCUGACUCUGUCCUUUCCUUUGUGAAGCUACAAGAUGUCAUUGAAGGGGAAAUGAAUACUGAAUGACAUAUUUUAAUCCUCGGGGAAGGCUCUCCUCUUGCUUCCACUGCAUUUGGACACCCCAGUUUUCACAGGAAGAAAGGAGACAGUUUGGAUUCAAAUGAGAGAUGUUUCAACUUCUGAGAGCAGUCAGACAAAAG